CAGGUGCAUAAACGAAAGUGUGUCUAUUAUCCAAACAAGAAAUUCAGUCCACAGUAAAGACUCACUCACAGCAAAAGUGCGGAGCUUAGAUUAUCCAAAGGCACAAAUAUUAUAGGUGACUGUUGGAAAUUCCAGCAGGAAAACUAAUGAAAAGAUUAGAAUCAGAGAUGUUAUAAAGACCUGUCCGACAUCAUUGCUACUAAGGAGCAGAUGAGAUUUGAACUAGAAGUUACUCCUUCUGAAGACCGAACCCCUACUUGUUUCGUUAUUCCAUGCUGCCUUCGUCUGUGAAAAUGGGAGCAAUUGAAAGCAUCUCAGAAAAUCUUCUUCGUCCAAGCCACCUAGUUCCCUGGGUGCUUGUCAUGGCUGACAACAUUUUUGGUGCUGUAUGUUAAUGAACUGGCUGAAAAUUGUUACAGAACUCCUUUGAACUUCAAUGUAAAAAUCAUAAUUGCUACUAGUGGAUGCUGACAUGGCCAAAUCGUGUAUGUUUGAAAAGAAAAAUCCUGGGACUUACCCACCAAGUUUGCUAGGACUGUGAACAAG
rnacentral:lncRNA from 1 species